rfam:Myotis lucifugus cont2.37279, whole genome shotgun sequence.
UGUGGAGGGGGGGGGAUCCUCAGCCCGGAUGGCGAGAGGGGGCAGGCCAGGCCAAGGGACCCCACCAGUGCAUG